GAUGAACGCUGGCGGCGUGCCUAAUACAUGCAAGUCGAACGAACAUAGCAAUAUGUUAGUGGCGACCGGGUGCGUAACACGUAGCUGAUCUGCCCCUCAGCGGGGGAUAACUAUUCGAAAGAGUAGCUAAUACCGCAUAAUAUCGGGAUUUUUAGAAAGUCCCGCUUAAACUUACGGGGUUGAGGGAGGAGGCUGCGGCCCAUCAGGUAGUUGGUGAGGUAAAAGCUCACCAAGCCAAUGACGGGUAGGGGGCCUGAGAGGGUGGUCCCCCACACUGGGACUGACACACGGCCCAGACUCCUACGGGAGGCAGCAGUAAGGGAUAUUGCGCAAUGGGCGAAAGCCUGACGCAGCAACGCCGCGUGGAGGAUGAAGGCUUUCGGGUCGUAAACUCCUUUUGUCAGGGACGAGGAAGGACGGUACUGACGAAUAAGUCACGGCUAACUACGUGCCAGCA
rnacentral:rRNA from 1 species